UAUGGCUCAUGUGUGGGCUAAUAAAAUCGAAAAACAACCUCAUUAGAUGGGGCUUUUUAUAUGUUUUGGAGAGGCUUCUUAUGCGCUGCAAGUUUUUAUUAGAUGAAAGUGAAGUCCAACACGCAAUUAGUGGUGAAAUGGUUGGAGAUCUGCAUAAUAAAAGUCGUCUCGAGAAAGCAAAUGCAGUCAUUGAUAUCAUGAACAGUGCGUUGUCCCUGAUGGCCCAGAUAAAUGAAACCGACCGCAUGAAUAUACUAAAGAUGUGUGAAAUUCUUUUUUCUCAACUGUGCCUAAAAGUCCCCACUUCAACGGUGACAUCUAUGGAUGAUCCUACAAUCUGUAUCAAAGACGUUAGCUGGAAUAAGAAGCUUGGUCCAGGAG
rnacentral:misc_RNA from 1 species